AAUAGAAUGCUAGCGGGCCUAGCCUUUUCAGUUCGGAUCCAGUGUACCAAUUUAUGUGUCCCACUCCAUGUCCCACAAACAAAAUGAUGUAGUUUUAAUUAUAACUAAAUAGCACACAUAUAUAUCUCUCUGUAUACGAAACCUCUCGGCUUGGCCAUCGGCGUGGAGAUCUUCUCCCUUCCUUGAUAGAUAUGCUUACACCAUAUCUAAACGAAAGUUUAUGAAUUUCUGCCAAAAAUCAUCUAGCCAUGGAAAUUAGAUAUUUUUUCUCUUCAUAGUUCAUUUAUUCUCCUACACAAAUCCAAAAUUCAAACUUGAAUCUGGUUUUAACUUAAUCUCUCCAGCCUUCUCUCGCCAUCCAUUUCCGCGACACGACGGAGACGACAAUCGAAAUCACGCCGUUGUUGUCGGAGUGUACAUUACACUAAUGUUUGCAUCUGGCUUACUCGUUAAUGGACCUACUCAUUAAUAGCAAUCACAUUCGUUGCUGAUCUUGGCAGCCAUAGCAGGAUAAGAGGGAGUUCCCUGCAUUAGCUAUUGUUACAGCAAUCAUAGAUGGAACCGGUUCUAUUGGUGUUUCUUUCGGUCAUCUUCUGGCCGAAAAUAUUUCGACUAGAAAGUGGAACAAUAUUUUCUUCAUGCUUAUUAUUUCUUGUGAUGCGUGUUUGUUGAUUCGUGUUGUCAUAAAUGAAAUUAAAAUGAAAGCUGAGUGAGGGUAGAUGGCUAUGGCUCAGCAUAAUUGAUGGGUGAUCAUGGCCUUGUAUUUUUUUAUUUUUUUCCUUAGCAUUGAUUGUUGAAUGUAGCUUAGGAGUAGGAAAUGAAAGAAUGUAUUUGAAGCAUACAAAGAUUUGAUUUUGGAGAUUUGAAUACAUAAAUAUUGGCUGAUA